GAUGAACGCUGGCGGCGUGCCUAAUACAUGCCAGUAGAACGCUGAAGGAGGAGCUUGCUCUUCUGGAUGAGUUGCGAACGGGUGAGUAACGCGUAGGUAACCUGCCUGGUAGCGGGGGAUAACUAUUGGAAACGAUAGCUAAUACCGCAUGACAACAGUUAUUGCAUGAUAACUGUUUAAAAGGGGCAACUGCUCCACUACCAGAUGGACCUGCGUUGUAUUAGCUAGUUGGUGAGGUAACGGCUCACCAAGGCGACGAUACAUAGCCGACCUGAGAGGGUGAGCGGCCACACUGGGACUGUGACACGGCCCAGACGCCUACGGGAGGCAGCAGUAGGGAAACUUCAGCAAGGGACGGAAGUCUGACCGAGCAACGCCGCGUGAGGGAAGAAGGUUUUCGGAUCGUAAAGCUCUGUUGUAAGAGAAGAACGAGUGUGAGAGUGGAAAGUUCACACUGUGACGGUAUCUUACCAGAAAGGGACGGCUAACUACGUG
rnacentral:rRNA from 1 species